GUGUCAGCCGCCGCGGUAAUACGGAGGGUGCAAGCGUUAUCCGGAUUCACUGGGUUUAAAGGGUGCGUAGGUGGGUCUGUAAGUCCGUGGUGAAAUCUCUAGGCUUAACCUGGAAACUGCCAUGGAUACUAUAGGUCUUGAAUACUGUGGAGGUCAGCGGAAUAUGUCAUGUAGCGGUGAAAUGCUUAGAUAUGACAUAGAACACCAAUUGCGAAGGCAGCUGGCUACACAAAUAUUGACACUGAGGCACGAAAGCGUGGGGAUCAAACAGGAUUAGAUACCCUGGUAGUCC
rnacentral:rRNA from 1 species